UUGACCUCGGAUCAGGUGGGGAUACCCGCUGAACUUAAGCAUAUCAAUAAGCGGAGGAAAAGAAACCAACCGGGAUUGCCCUAGUAACGGCGAGUGAAGCGGCAACAGCUCAAAUUUGAAAUCUGGCGCCUUCGGCGUCCGAGUUGUACUUUGUAGAGGAUGCUUUUGGGCAGCCGCCGGUCUAAGUUCCUUGGAACAGGACGUCAUAGAGGGUGAGAAUCCCGUAUGCGACCGGAGGGGCACCCGUCACGAAGCUCCUUCGACGAGUCGAGUUGUUUGGGAAUGCAGCUCUAAAUGGGUGGUAAAUUUCAUCUAAAGCUAAAUACCGGCCAGAGACCGAUAGCGCACAAGUAGAGUGAUCGAAAGAUGAAAAGCACUUUGGAAAGAGAGUUAAAAAGCACGUGAAAUUGUUGAAAGGGAAGCGCUUGCUACCAGACUCGUGGGCGGUGUUCCGCCGGUCUUCUGACCGGUCCACUCACCGUCUACGGGCCAGCAUCACUUGGGACCGCCGGAGAAAAGCGGGGGGAAUGUGGCUCCCUCGGGAGUGUUAUAGCCCCCCGCGUAAUACGGCGCGCCCCGAGUGAGGUCCGCGCUUCGGCUAGGAUGCUGGCGUAAUGGUCGUAAGCGGCCCGUCUUGAAACACGGACCAAGGAGUCUAACAUCUAUGCGAGUGUUCGGGUGUCAAACCCCUGCGCGGAAUGAAAGUGAACGGAGGUGGGAGCCGCAAGGUGCACCAUCGACCGAUCCUGAUGUCUUCGGAUGGAUUUGAGUAAGAGCAUAGCUGUUGGGACCCGAAAGAUGGUGAACUAUGCCUGAAUAGGGUGAAGCCAGAGGAAACUCUGGUGGAGGCUCGCAGCGGUUCUGACGUGCAAAUCGAUCGUCAAAUUUGGGUAUAGGGGCGAAAGACUAAUCGAACC
rnacentral:rRNA from 1 species